UACAGAGGGGGCAAGCGUUAUUCGGAAUUAUUGGGCGUAAAGGGCGCGUAGGCGGCUUGGCAAGUGGAUGGUGAAAUCCCUCGGCUCAACCGAGGAACUGCGCUCUAAACUACCGUGCUUGAGGGAGAUAGAGGUGAGCGGAACUUAGGGUGGAGCGGUGAAAUGCGUUGAUAUCCUAAGGAACACCGGUGGCGAAAGCGGCUCACUGGAUCUUUUCUGACGCUGAGGCACGAAAGCUAGGGUAGCGAACGGG
rnacentral:rRNA from 1 species